ensembl:snoRNA SNORA62 Small nucleolar RNA SNORA62/SNORA6 family
UCUGCACAUUGUUAGAGCUUGAAGUUGAGACUGCUGACUGCCCAAUGAACUCACAAGUGUAGGUAGUGUGCUCCAUGGGGGGCAAGUCUUUCACUAACACCACCACGGUCUCUGGCCCAAUGAGUGGAGUUUGAUAGUAAUCCUUGCUACAAGU